UCUUGGUCAUUUAGAGGAAGUAAAAGUCGUAACAAGGUUUCCGUAGGUGAACCUGCGGAAGGAUCAUUAAAGAAAUUUAAUAAUUUUGAAAAUGGAUUUUUUUUUUUUUGUUUUGGCAAGAGCAUGAGAGCUUUUACUGGGCAAGAAGACAAGAGAUGGAGAGUCCAGCCGGGCCUGCGCUUAAGUGCGCGGUCUUGCUAGGCUUGUAAGUUUCUUUCUUGCUAUUCCAAACGGUGAGAGAUUUCUGUGCUUUUGUUAUAGGACAAUUAAAACCGUUUCAAUACAACACACUGUGGAGUUUUCAUAUCUUUGCAACUUUUUCUUUGGGCAUUCGAGCAAUCGGGGCCCAGAGGUUAACAAACACAAACAAUUUUAUCUAUUCAUUAAAUUUUUGUCAAAAACAAGAAUUUUCGUAACUGGAAAUUUUAAAAUAUUAAAAACUUUCAACAACGGAUCUCUUGGUUCUCGCAUCGAUGAAGAACGCAGCGAAAUGCGAUACGUAAUGUGAAUUGCAGAAUUCCGUGAAUCAUCGAAUCUUUGAACGCACAUUGCGCCCCUUGGUAUUCCAGGGGGCAUGCCUGUUUGAGCGUCAUUUCCUUCUCAAACAUUCUGUUUGGUAGUGAGUGAUACUCUUUGGAGUUAACUUGAAAUUGCUGGCCUUUUCAUUGGAUGUUUUUUUUCCAAAGAGAGGUUUCUCUGCGUGCUUGAGGUAUAAUGCAAGUACGGUCGUUUUAGGUUUUACCAACUGCGGCUAAUCUUUUUUAUACUGAGCGUAUUGGAACGUUAUCGAUAAGAAGAGAGCGUCUAGGCGAACAAUGUUCUUAAAGUCUGACCUCAAAUCAGGUAGGAGUACCCGCUGAACUUAAGCAUAUCAAUAAGCGGAG
rnacentral:rRNA from 1 species